rnacentral:rRNA from 1 species
AAUAGCCCGGCCGGCUUUUGGUGGUCUCCGGCUUUUUAGAGGGACUAUCAGCGUCUAGCCGAUGGAAGUUUGAGGCAAUAACAGGUCUGUGAUGCCCUUAGAUGUUUUGGGCCGCACGCGCGCUACACUGACAGAGCCAGCGAGUUCUUUUCCUUGGCCGGAAGGUCUGGGUAAUCUUGUGAAACUCUGUCGUGCUGGGGAUAGAGCAUUGCAAUUAUUGCUCUUCAACGAGGAAUUCCUAGUAAGCGUGAGUCAUCAGCUCGCGUUGAUUACGUCCCUGCCC